rnacentral:pre_miRNA from 8 species
ACUGGAAUUAGCCAUGCAUUCUAUCCUUCAUUCCACCGGAGUCUGUGUCAUGAACCAUUCAGAUUUCAGUGGUGUGAAGAGUAAGAAACAUGGAGUUUA